rnacentral:rRNA from 1 species
AAAGUCGUAACAAGGUUUCCGUAGGUGAACCUGCGGAAGGAUCAUUAAUGUAUGUUCGGAAGGGGUUUGAUGCUGGUCUCUCCCUCCGGGGAGGCAUGUGCGCACCUCUCGACUUCUAUCCACACACCUGUGCACUGUUGUGAGUGUCUCCCAUUCGGAGCCGUCCUGUGAAAACAGGACUGGGACACUCCUUCUCUUUAUCACACACGCCUGUCCAUAUCGCAUGUCUGAGUGGCUCCAAGGAGCUAUAAACAAAAUACAACUUUCAACAACGGAUCUCUUGGCUUUCGCAUCGAUGAAGAACGCCGCGAAAGCGCGAAACGUAAUGUGAAUUGCAGAAUUCAGUGAAUCAUCGAAUCUUUGAACGCAUCUUGCGCUCCUUGGUAUUCCGAGGAGCAUGCCUGUUUGAGUGUCGUGAAUUCUCUCGAUCCUUCUCCCUUGUCUUCUCGGGAAGUGGGGAUCGGACUUGGAUGUCUGCCACCUCUUUCAAAAGAUGGUGGCUCAUCCCUAAAUGCAUCUAGCUGGUCUGCUGCCUGAUCCUCUACGCAAACGGUGUGAUAAGGAACACUUCUGUGACUGUAGUGCCGUUUUCCCAGAGCCCAUGGCGUGCAACCGCUUCCAAUCGUCUUCGGACAAGUAAGACUUCAUGUCAUCUGACCUCAAAUCAGGUAGGACUACCCGCUGAACUUAAGCAUAUCAAUAAGCGGAGGAAAAGAAACUAACAAGGAUUCCCCUAGUAACGGCGAGUGAAGCGGGAAGAGCUCAAAUUUGUAAUCUGGCGGUCU